UGGCGGCAGGCCUAACACAUGCAAGUCGAGCGGCAGCGGGAAGUAGUUUACUACUUUGCCGGCGAGCGGCGGACGGGUGAGUAAUGUCUGGGGAUCUGCCUGAUGGAGGGGGAUAACUACUGGAAACGGUAGCUAAUACCGCAUGACCUCGUAAGAGCAAAGUGGGGGACCUUCGGGCCUCACGCCAUCGGAUGAACCCAGAUGGGAUUAGCUAGUAGGUGGGGUAAUGGCUCACCUAGGCGACGAUCCCUAGCUGGUCUGAGAGGAUGACCAGCCACACUGGAACUGAGACACGGUCCAGACUCCUACGGGAGGCAGCAGUGGGGAAUAUUGCACAAUGGGCGCAAGCCUGAUGCAGCCAUGCCGCGUGUGUGAAGAAGGCCUUCGGGUUGUAAAGCACUUUCAGCGAGGAGGAAGGCAGUCGUGUUAAUAGCACGAUUGAUUGACGUUACUCGCAGAA
rnacentral:rRNA from 1 species